rfam:Triticum aestivum genome assembly, contig: Triticum_aestivum_CS42_TGACv1_scaffold_393838_5AS
CAUGUACUCCCUCCGUCCAAAAAUACUUGUCAUCAAAAUGGAUAAAAGGAGAUGUAUCUAGACAUAUUUUAGCUCUGGAUACAUCCUUUUUUAUCCAUUUUGAUGACAAGUAUUUUCGGACGGAGGGAGUAGGAA